AAACCUCUCUCCCCUUCACAAAAGUCCAACUCCUCCCCUUCAUUCCCUCCGCUCGCUUCCCCUUUCAUUCUCUCUCUCCUCCCUCCCGUAUACUCUUCUCUUUCAUGCAGCAGUGGCUCCGUCCUCCCGUCACCAACGAGCGUCAAACUAUACCUUCAGAAUCCUCUUCCCUUCCUCUUUCCAACCCUCAAGUUAGUUUCUCCAAAUUUGUAGCCGAAUUUUCUCAAUUUCAGAUCUAAGAAACGGUGACCAUAGGUAUUCCGGCCAAUUUCCAGCAAAGUCUGCCUGAAUUGGACCUCAACCAAGAGAUUGGGGACAAGGAAGGUGAAUCAAGGUUGUUUCCAACCUGGGCCGAGAAGAAUGGAAGCCUUGGAAGGUUGUGGGUGAAACUAAGGUGAAGAGGGUUCUUCUAAAAAAAUUAAGAUCAAAGAAGGAAGUUCAAUUUAUCAUGGAUCAAGGUUUGGACUGCUAGACAGCGCGUCGCCUUCGGUUUGAGGUAUGAAAUUAGUCUCGUGCUUGCAAUCUGGCCGCUUACGUGUUUAAAUUUCUGGUUUAUCAAUAUGCUCAAGAUUUGGUUAGCAGUUUGAACUCCCAUCGCAGCAUCAUCAUCAUCAUCUGCUCUUGCUGCUGCUGCCUUUGACUGGUAUUUCCCUAUUUGCUGCCCAAACAACAGUCCUCUCAGAUACUACUUGCUUGGAGUACCAUAUACCUAUAUAGUAGUUUGAAAGCUGACCUGGUUUGAAGAAACCUAGCUCAAACAUCCCACCUGGAGAGACAAUGGUUUGAUCGCCAAAGAGAGAUUGGCAUGACAUGAUUAAGCUCUUUGGAAACAGAGUCUUCAAACACUUUUCAAAGUUUGAGUCCCAACAUUUGUUCAAAAUUGUAUUAAAGAUCAGUUAUGCAAAUUUGUAGUAUAUUCUUAUAUCAAAGAUCUUACAAUU